rnacentral:rRNA from 1 species
GAUGAACGCUGGCGGCGUGCCUAACACAUGCAAGUCGAGCGAUUCUCUUCGGAGAAGAGCGGCGGACGGGUGAGUAACGCGUGGGUAACCUGCCCUGUACACACGGAUAACAUACCGAAAGGUAUGCUAAUACGAGAUAAUAUGCUUCUAUCGCAUGGUAGAAGUAUCAAAGCUCUGGCGGUACAGGAUGGACCCGCGUCUGAUUAGCUAGUUGGUAAGGUAACGGCUUACCAAGGCGACGAUCAGUAGCCGACCUGAGAGGGUGAUCGGCCACAUUGGAACUGAGACACGGUCCAAACUCCUGCGGGAGGCAGCAGUGGGGAAUAUUGCACAAUGGGCGAAAGCCUGAUGCAGCAACGCCGCGUGAGCGAUGAAGGCCUUCGGGUCGUAAAGCUCUGUCCUCAAGGAAGAUAAUGACGGUACUUGAGGAGGAAGCCCCGGCUAACUACGUGCCAGCCGCCGCAGUAA